AGCAGUCGCCGCGGUAAUACGGAGGGGGCUAGCGUUGUUCGGAAUUACUGGGCGUAAAGCGCACGUAGGCGGCUGUGUAAGUCAGAGGUGAAAGCCCGGGGCUCAACCCCGGAAUAGCCUUUGAGACUGCAUAGCUUGAACACGGGAGAGGUGAGUGGAAUUCCGAGUGUAGAGGUGAAAUUCGUAGAUAUUCGGAAGAACACCAGUGGCGAAGGCGGCUCACUGGACCGUUGUUGACGCUGAGGUGCGAAAGCGUGGGGAGCAAACAGGAUUAGAUACCCGCGUAGUCCCUGUCUCUUAUAA
rnacentral:rRNA from 1 species